AUUAAGGUGGCUCACCCCAAUAGUGACCCCCGGUAGAUUUUUUUUAUUUUCACUUAUUCUGUAGAUUUUUUUAUGCUGAAUCCAAAAAUGCAAAGAAAAAAGGGGGUCACCAGGCUCGUUUUCCCCUCAAAUUGAAGCGAAAUGUGCGAUUUUGACCCUUUUUCCAAAUAUGUCCACCCUUACAACAAUAACGGUUACAUCAAAUUCAAAGAGUUUUAAAACCAAGUCAGUAUGAUUUUUAUGUGAAAAAACAUUAGAAUUUGAAAUGUAAACCUUUCCCGUUGUUGUUUUUGACUUAAAAAUCCUUUUAUUUUUAGAUUUAUGUCUAAAUUUUGCAUUUUCUAAUUUCAGUUUAAGGCAAAAAAUAUUGAUUGAAUCGAUUUUUCGUAAAAUUUUCCCGGUAGAUUUUUUUUAAAAACAGAUAUGUGAAAGCUAUGAACAUUUCGAGCAUUUUAAGGUAAAAUAAAAUGGGGGUCACCAGGCUUUUAAAAAAGUUACGAGCUUUUGUUUAACCCCUCUACCCCAUAAGGUCUGAUUUCAAUGCAGUCCAUUAAUUACUUAAUUGUGAAUUCUUUAUUGGUGGCUUAAAUAAAAUAAUGUUUGAAAUUAUAUUAAUAAACGAUGGCUGAAUAUAAAUGUGAUUAUCGUAUGACUGUUUGUUAUCAAGAAGCGAAACUUUGAUUAUUUAGGUGAAAUACGGUAAUUUUGUCUGGCGCGAGUUGCUUCCCUCUAAUUUGGCGCCAUUAUCGGACCAGAGGAAUUUAAAGGUCGGCACGCCGAGCAGCAUACUACAUUGAUGAAUACGACCAUUUACAUACAUAACAGACAUUGUGGUGAAUAUACAACGAUGAAGGCUGCAAGUACAUUUGUACAUGUACAUGCAAAUGGAAGGAGUGAUCUUGGAAUGUUCAACUUUACUUGGAAUUAUUGGCACAGUACUGACAGAAUUUUAUGAGAAGCCAGUAUCAUCUAGCCUUGCAACCGGAAACUAUGUGUAAAGUGCUGAAACUUAAGAACAACAUUCUACAUGUAUAUGCAAUAUGUGUUGCCACAAUCCAAUUGAGGAGCAGAGGUCAACUAUAAAUUGGAACUACAUGUAUAGGCCUUAGUGCUGUCAAAAUCCUUAAAAAAUGCAAUCAAAAGGACCUGCUUCACCUACCUGUCCCAAUGAUGAAUAAAGAUCAUAUAUAUAUAUAUUGAGUCUUAUAAAAAAAAACAGUGAAGGAGAAUAAAAAUUAUGAAGAUAUAGAGCUGAUCAGCUUAUGAUUGUACAUGUACAUGACGUAUAAAUGGCAACAAUGCUUACAUUUAUACUAGAACAUUUAAAUUAACAAUAUUACAUUUGUAAUACAUGUUUUAUAAAUUUGAUCUCAGAGACAUCUGAGGAAUAAAAUCAAUAACGUUUCAAAAAUU